UAGCGGCGCGCUUAAUGCAUGCAAGUCGAGCGAUGAGGCUCCUUCGGGGGUACAUCAGCGGCAGACGGGUGAGUAACACGUAGGUGACCUACCCUCGAGACGGGGAUAACGGCUGGAAACAGUCGCUAAUACCCGAUAGACUUACCAGGUCAAAGCGGUAAGAAAAGCUACGGUGCUUGGGGAGGGGCCUGCGGCCCAUCAGCUAGUUGGUAGGGUAACGGCCUACCAAGGCGAAGACGGGUAGGGGGUGUGAGAGCACGAGCCCCCACAAUGGGACUGCGACACGGCCCAUACUCCUACGGGAGGCAGCAGCAGGGAAUAUUGCACAAUGGACGGAAGUCUGAUGCAGCGACGCCGCGUGAGUGAAGACGGCCUUCGGGUUGUAAAGCUCUUUUACGGGGGACGAGGAAGGACGGUACCCUGGGAAGAAGUGUCGGCUAACUACGUGCCAGCAGCCGCGGUAAGACGUAGGACACAAGCGUUAUCCGGAGUUACUGGGCGUAAAGCGCCUGCAGGCGGCCUGGUAAGUUGGACGUGAAAGCCCCCGUGCUUAACGCGGGGAGGUCGGACAAUACUGCCAAGCUAGAGUGCGUCAGAGGGGAGUGGAAUUCCCGGAGUAGCGGUAAAAUGCGCAGAUAUCGGAAGGAACACCAAGUGGCGAAAGCGACUCCCUGGGGCGCGACUGACGCUAAGAGGCGAAAAGCUAGGGGGGAGCGAACAGGAUUAGAGAACCUGGUAGUACUAGCCCUAAACGAUGGAU
rnacentral:rRNA from 1 species